UACGAAGGGGGCUAGCGUUGCUCGGAAUUACUGGGCGUAAAGGGUGCGUAGGUGGUUAAAUAAGUUAGGUGUGAAAUUCCUGAGCUCAACUUGGGGACUGCGCCUGAUACUGUUUAGCUAGAGUACUGUAGAGGGAAGUGGAAUUUCCGGUGUAGCGGUGAAAUGCGUAGAUAUCGGAAGGAACAAUCAGUGGCGAAGGCGAAUUUCCUGGACAGAUACUGACACUGAGGCACGAAAGCGUGGGGAAGCAAACAGGG
rnacentral:rRNA from 1 species